rnacentral:rRNA from 1 species
AGUUUUCCGCAAUGGGCGCAAGCCUGACGGAGCAACGCCGCGUGGGGGAUGACACCUUUCGGGGCGUAAACCCCUUUUCUUGGGGACGAAGCAGUGACGGUACCCGAGGAAGAAGGCCCGGCUAACUACGUGCCAGCAGCCGCGGUAAUACGUAGGGGCCGAGCGUUGUCCGGAGUUACUGGGCGUAAAGCGCGCGCAGGCGGCUCGUCAAGCCUGACGUGAAAGCCCCCGGCUCAACCGGGGAGGGUCGUCGGGGACUGGCGGGCUUGAGGUCGGCAGGGGUUGGUGGAAUUCCCGGUGUAGUGGUGAAAUGCGUAGAGAUCGGGAGGAACACCCGUGGCGAAGGCGGCCAACUGGGCCGGACCUGACGCUGAGGCGCGAAGGCGUGGGGAGCGAACGGGAUUAGAUACCCCUG